rnacentral:rRNA from 1 species
UACGUAGGGUGCAAGCGUUGUCCGGAAUUAUUGGGCGUAAAGAGCUCGUAGGCGGUCUGUCGCGUCUGGUGUGAAAAUCCAGGGCUUAACCCUGGACCUGCAUCGGGUACGGGCAGACUAGAGUGCGGUAGGGGAGAUCGGAAUUCCUGGUGUAGCGGUGAAAUGCGCAGAUAUCAGGAGGAAGACCAGUGGCGAAGGCGGGUCUCUGGGCAACAACUGACGCUGAGGAGCGAAAGCGUGGGGAGCGAACAGG